rnacentral:rRNA from 1 species
UACGGAGGGGGCUAGCGUUGUUCGGAAUUACUGGGCGUAAAGCGCACGUAGGCGGCUUUGUAAGUUAGAGGUGAAAGCCCGGGGCUCAACUCCGGAAUCGCCUUUAAGACUGCAUCGCUAGAAUUGUGGAGAGGUGAGUGGAAUUCCGAGUGUAGAGGUGAAAUUCGUAGAUAUUCGGAAGAACACCAGUGGCGAAGGCGACUCACUGGACACAUAUUGACGCUGAGGUGCGAAAGCGUGGGGAGCAAACAGG